rnacentral:tRNA from 1 species
GGGGCUGUAGCUCAGCGGUUAGAGCAGUCGGCUCAUAACCGAUUGGUCGCUGGUUCGAUCCCAGCCAGCCCCACCA